UACAGAGGUCUCGAGCGUUGUUCGGAUUCAUUGGGCGUAAAGGGUGCGUAGGUGGCGCUGUAAGUCGGUGGUGAAAUCCUGGAGCUCAACUCCAGAACUGCCUUCGAUACUGGGAGUCUCGAGUCCGGGAGAGGUGAGUGGAACUGCGAGUGUAGAGGUGAAAUUCGUAGAUAUUCGCAAGAACACCAGUGGCGAAGGCGGCUCACUGGCCCGAUACUGACGCUGAGGCACGAAAGCGUGGGGAGCAAACAGG
rnacentral:rRNA from 1 species